rnacentral:rRNA from 1 species
AGCGGAAAGGCCCUUCGGGGUACUCGAGCGGCGAACGGGUGAGUAACACGUGAGCAACCUGCCCUAGGCUUUGGGAUAACCCCGGGAAACCGGGGCUAAUACCGGAUAUUCACUUGCGGACGCAUGUUUGUGGGUGGAAAGUUUUUCGGCUUGGGAUGGGCUCGCGGCCUAUCAGCUUGUUGGUGGGGUGAUGGCCUACCAAGGCGACGACGGGUAGCCGGCCUGAGAGGGCGACCGGCCACACUGGGACUGAGACACGGCCCAGACUCCUACGGGAGGCAGCAGUGGGGAAUAUUGCACAAUGGGCGGAAGCCUGAUGCAGCGACGCCGCGUGAGGGAUGACGGCCUUCGGGUUGUAAACCUCUUUCAGCAGGGACGAAGCGUAAGUGACGGUACCUGCAGAAGAAGCGCCGGCCAACUACGUGCCAGCAGCCGCGGUAAGACGUAGGGCGCGAGCGUUGUCCGGAUUUAUUGGGCGUAAAGAGCUCGUAGGCGGCUUGUCGCGUCGACUGUGAAAACCCGUGGCUCAACUGCGGGCCUGCAGUCGAUACGGGCAGGCUAGAGUUCGGUAGGGGAGACUGGAAUUCCUGGUGUAGCGGUGAAAUGCGCAGAUAUCAGGAGGAACACCGGUGGCGAAGGCGGGUCUCUGGGCCGAUACUGACGCUGAGGA